UAGUCUUUUCUCGACGCCUUUCACAUGGUUAUCCUUCACCGAUAUUGUCACCGCCUCAUCAUUGAACUUCCCCACCGACUCUCAGACAAUAUCUUCCCGAUUGUUCUAUCCUAUUUUUCAUCCACUUUUCAACCAUCAUCUUCUUUCUACACCGCAUUCUCCUACCCAUGAACAUUCGUUCCCUUGAUGCCUCCUUCUCCGUUUUCGCAUUCUUUUUUCAAUUUCACAAGCUUUCGUUUCACUCAUCAGGUUUAAACCGGGGUUAGAUGGUCGAUGUUAUCGGAUUCUACCUUCCAUAUUCUCAGAUUCUAAAUCACCAUCGUCGCCGAUAGAGAACAAAUAAUCCACCGCCUCAGGAUCAAGGGAAUUGUGUUUUACCGCUAGGAAUUGUGUGAUUUGCAGGUGGUUGUUGUUCUAUAUGGGUUUUUGGCUCUAUCUGCGUUUCCGGCUACUAUGAGGGCUUUAUGGUCCCCUCCGCUACUGCGACACCUUCGGUCGUACCUGAGACGCCCUCAGUUGCACCAAAGACAUAUUUAGUUGUACCAGAGACGUCUAUGAUGGAGGCGUCAGUGGAUGUGCUUGGAUAAUCCGAAAUCGUUGGUGGAAUUGUAAUAUGUUGAGCAUGUGGUCUCUUCUGGGGAUCGGAUACGAUCGGUACUGUCAACUUCAUCUUCCGAGUGUUCUUCGUUCCUCCUCACCAUUUGUGGCCUCCAAUUGAAGAGUAUUCAAGCCCUAGACCUAUUCUUGAAGGAGCAAAUGCGUUGGUGUGAACAUUCUUAUGGCACAAGUGGGUUGUUUUGUUCCUUGAGAUAAAGCUUCCAUUUCUAUCCGACACUGCAUUCUUGCUCCUGUUGGUGGUGGUGACUUUCAGAUUGAUGAUGAUAAGGGAAAUACUUCUACUUCCAAUACGAAGUGUCUUUCGAAUGAUUGGAGGAAGAUGUAUCUUGCUAUGUGUCAUAAGAACACAUAAGGGAUGGUAAUAAAUUGGGUAAAUUACAUGUCCCUCUUGUAUAUGUUAAAAAACACGUUUGGUUUCUAUUUUUGAAAAAUUAACUCGGACUGUCCCUUGUUUGGUUAAUAGUUGCACGCUUCAUCCCUCGUUAGUUUAAAUUUGUGUGUUUCAUCCCUUACGAGACAUAAAAUGACUAUUAUACCCUUUCAUAUUUCUUUUCCAUUUAAUUUAAUGUUAUAAUUAUUAUUUUUAAUUUAAAAAUAAAAGAAAAAGCAAUAGUACCCCACUUCAUACCCCCACCCCCAACAGAUCAUCGGGUGAACACCACCUGCAUCUCUCAAACACCAUACUUACAUUGCCACAUUCCCAAUUCCACCCUUCUUCCUCAAUCAAACACCUUAUACCACCUUAAAACCCACAUCCUCCUUUUACGGGAUACUCCACCAUUGGAACACCCUUGCCGCACCCAUGUUCAUUGUCGCAAACCGCAACCAAUACCCACUUUAAACCUUACCUUCAAAAUCGGAAAACCCACCUCAGUCGGAAACCACCUUCGUGAAACCUGCACCAUUCAAACAUCAUCUAUUCAUCGCCUCCAAACAAAAAUACCACCUACCUUAUACCACCCUCGAAGUCAGCCACCUCCAUCCAAAUCAGCCCCUGAAAACCCCUGGAAACCAUCUUAAACAUCGCCUUGGAAUGUGAUCACCUCUUCAUUUAUAUCGUUGAUGGAGAAGAUUGGGGUUCGAUUUGACCUCGUUUCUUUGAUUUGGAUCUCCAUCCUCUUCGAUUUAUAAGUUUAGGGUUUAGUUGGGUUUCAAUUGCAGGUUUAGGUUUCGUUUUUUGAGGUUUGAGUGAUGACUGGUGGUCUGUGUGAGAGAGCGGGAGAUGUAACCGAUUAAAUUCAAAGAAGAAGAAGAAGAAAAGAAAUUGGGGAAAGGAUAAAUUGCAACUUCCUUCUCUCUUUUUGAUCUUCUGAUUUGUUGCAAAUCAAGAACAUUAAAAACAAGAGGCAACUUAGGGUUGAGUGGAGAUAUAAGAUGGUGGUGGCGAUUGUGGUGUUAAUGAUUCCACCGAUGAUGGUGGUGGUGUUGAUGAUUCCAUGUACAGUUCCUACUUGAGUUCUAGGGUUUGAUAGAGGCGAUCAGAGGAGGAGGAAGAUCGAUUGGUCCGAUUUUCGUUUAUCGCUUUGGGGUGAAGGUGUAGGUAGGGGUGACGGGGGUUCGCCGACGUCCGGAGUAGCUGAGAAUGGAGGAACAAACUUAGAGGAAGAUGUAUGAGGGGGAAGCAAGGAGGGUGGGUACCUGUAUGUAUAUUUAUUGUUUUUUUUUUAUUUAAUCUAAAAAUAAUAAACAAAUAAAAAGAAAAUUAAAAAGGAAAUAAAUAAGGACAAUAUGGUCUUCUUUAUGUCCAGAGUGACGAAAUGUACAAGUUUUAAAUGAAUGAGGGACAAUCCAAGUUAAUUUUUAAAAAUAAAAACUAAAUGUACUUUUUGAUAUAUACACGAAGGACAUUGGAUAAUUUACCCUACCAAAUUAUAUGACUAAUGAAUCGUCUUUUAUCAACCUGCUAGUAACUCAAGAUUGUU